GAGGAGGUCCCGGCACCUCGCUCCGCCGCCCGGCUCGCUCCCCGCCGCCCUCGCACCUGCUUCGGCCCAGCGAGGAGGGACUGCGAAGUCCCCCGGCUCGAUGGGCAACGCGAGUGCCCGGGUGGGGCGCGGCCUCAGCGGGCGGCUCAGCCCCCGGGGCCGCCUCGCAGCCGUGGGGCAGCGGUUCGCCUCAGGAGCUGCUCUGCGCCGCAGAGGUCCUGCAGCGGCCCGGAGCGGCCCUUGGGGAAGGCGCUGAAACGGGGCCAGGAGGAAGCAGAGGCUGAGGGGCCUGCGGUGCCCAGGCUGGGGCGCGGCCCCAAAGCCAAAGCCCUGACCUGAACGCGUCGCCACAAGUCUGCUUGGUUUCCCUGCCAGGACGCCGGGCGCGGUCCCAGCCUUGUCCCACUGCUCCAGGGAGCGCCGGGGCAGCCAACAGCUCUGGAGCAGCACGGAACGUGAAGGCAAGCAGAGCCAUCCAGCACCCGCUGGCUGUCCUGGCCCUUGAAGCACCUCAGUGAUGUCUUUGAGCCUGAUCCUCUCCACCUACCAAAACCUAACCAAAGCCAAACUCUUCCUUCCAACCCAGGCAGCUCCUUUAGUCUCUGGAGCUGCAUUUUGAUGCGGGUAGAAUACUGGGCUCUGGUGAGGCUGCAGCUCGAGCGCUGUGUUCAUGUGGGGUUCCUCACUACAAGAAAGACAUCGAGGCCCUGGAGUGUGUUCAGAGAUGAGCACUGAACGUAUAAAGGCAGUCCAGAGCAGAAGUCUUAUGAGGAUUGGCUGAGGGAACCCGGAUUGUUCAGUCUGGAGAAAAGGAGGCUCAGAGGAGACCUUAUUGCUCUCUACAACUCCCUGAAAGGAGGUUGUGGAGAGGUGGGCAUUGGCCUCUUCUCCCAGGUAACAACGAUAGAACUAAGUGCAGUGGCCUCAACUUGUGCCAGAGGAGAUUCAGAUUGGAUGUUAGGAAAAAUUUAUUCUCUAAAGAGGGGUGAGGUGCUGGAACGGGCUGCCUAGGGAAGUGGUGGUGUCAUUGUCCAUAGAGGUGUUCAAGAGCCAUGUAGAUGUAGCACUGAGGGACAUAGUUUAGUGAGUAUGGCGGGGAGGGACUGGUGGCUGGGCUAGAUGAUCUUAGUGGCCUUUUCCAAACUCAAUGAUUCUAUGACUGUAAGAUCCCUGAGGCACCUUACACAGUUUCUCCUUGGUUUUAUGCCAGCUGAGGAUUGCAUCUUGCUUGCAGUCGGGAAGACUCACCCAAGAGCCAGCCAUCUCUAUCCCCACUGAGCAGGGGAAGAGCUGUUCAGAGUGCACAUGAGCUCUCCCUCCAGAAACAGAUGCUGUUGUUCUCCAGGGCCACCAAUCCAUUUCAGAAAGGGAUAGGGAUUAGAGAGGUUAACACCUCUUAAGAUAAUUUCUUUAAAUGGCAGAUUUCUGCCUGGCUUUACUGGCAGCAGUUCGCCAGGGGUUCUCUCUCCUGGCAGCUUCAGCAAGGCUUUGUGCUGUGGCACAUGGAUCUCUGCAAUGUCCACAAUAGCUGCAAAUCCUGGAUAUUGUCCACAGCAGAUUGAAAGGCAGCAGCAAGGCUGGAAGCAGAGCUGCAGACUUUUUAGGAAGGUCUAUUGUGAUAGGUGUGUUGAAGUAGAGGGGAGUUCUUCCACCCCAUAAUUUAUUCUGCUCUUCAGCCGUUCCCUCUGCAUGCAGGCAGGAAGAAAGGACAGGAGAGGCUUAUCUACUGGACUUGGUAGCAUCUCACUCAGUCAGACCUGGCAGGAACACAGGUGCCGAGCUGGAUGAACCUGAGAAAAAUCCAGCCUUAAGGCAAAUGUUCCACCCCUACCCUGGAGGCAGCAGUUUACAGAACCCUAUAUAACAAAGCAGGCAUGGGGUAGACCUGGGCCCUAUGCCCCACGUGCAAUGGUUCUAAAAGCUAUGAAGUCAUGUAGAAGGACAGAGAUGCCACUCCUGUGGCUAAGCCCUCAGGAAAGCUAUGUGUAGCAGCAGCACCUCCUUGCACACAGCCACAAACAUGCUCACACCACCUCAGGUGUCUUCUGCUCCCUCACAGUGCUCAGCUGCAGCAGCUGCUCUGAUAGUCUGACUGGUGUUCUGCUACUGAAAGGUCUUGUUGCUUCUCCCAGACAAGGGACCUGCACUUUUCAUCACUCAUAGAGUACCUGAGCUCUGGGUGAGUAUGUGACCCACCUAAAGGCAGUGCUCGGAAGAGAGCUGCCCAUCCCUUUCACUGAUCUUCAUGUCAUGGAGUCCUGAUCUUUCAAAAGGGUUCAUGCUUGCACUCCUUCCCUCCAGCCCUUCUACUCUUGUAAGCUACCCUCUGCUGCACACAAAGCAAUUAGAUUUGUUUUAAUCAACUGCAGAAGUCCCCAGCUUUGGUUCAUGCAAAGCUCAACAGUGGAAUCUCCUUGCUCUCCAGCUGUCCUAGCUGCUAAGAUUACCUUGUAAGCUCAGCAUUUGUUAGAAGCAGUUUAAGCAUUUCCUCUCCAGUAGCUUUCUACAGAGGUUGUCUGACUUCCUAUAAGGAAGACAAAGACUAAGGAAGACCCUGGAUCAUCCCAGAUCAUAAAUCUGCCUUUCUACCAUGAUAUCCCACGAGUUGCACUGCACACCUUUUUUGACACAAUAAAAUAUCUCAGCUGAAACGUGGUGGGCAGUUUCAGGAAGGAGCUGCAGCUUGCUUACUGCUUGGCUACCUCCAGCUCAGGGGCAUGUGCACACUCAGCACAACAGCAAGGUUGUGGAGGAAGGGAGGGACAAAAACCAUUACGAAGCUGGGUUUGAGAACAGCCUCAGACUUGAAGCUGUAGCAUGCUGCUCCUCGCUGUUCUAAGUUUACAGACAGCUGUAAUAAGUUCUUAUUACAGUAUUUCCUGGGAAUCAGACUGAGGAAAUUAGUUACAAAAAAAAAAAGUUUAUGCUACUGUGUGGACUGAACAGAGGUAAAUAUAUUGAAGUAAUGUCUAUGUGCAGCCAUUCUAGGGCAGCCUUGAGUGCCCAAGGGUGAAUCAUUUUCACAAUAUGGCUACAAAAGAAAAUCACAUUUCUAAAAUUUUGGUGGUAACUGAAGCAUUUUCGGGCCUCAGGGAAAAAAUGCAAGAAGAAAAGGAUCUACACACAAGUAACAAGCAAAGGAUCUUCAGCACCAAGUAACAAGCGUUAAGGGGAGAGGAGGUUUCUAGUAACACAAUGCCUGAACCAAGACCAGAUUGGCAGGAACUGCACAGCUGCGUUAACUGGAUUUCAAGUCCCAGGAAUCAGGAAGGCUGAGCCAGUUUGCUUAUACACCACCUCUAAGAUGACUCAAUCAAGACCAGUGACAAAAAGGUAAUUAGUGGGUGUAUUCAACCAUAUAUGUUCAGGUUUUAUUAUAUAUAAAAAAUAUAAUUUUAUUAUAAAAAAUUAUUUAUAAAUAUUAUAAAUAAUAAAUUUUUAUAUAAUAAGUUUUAUAAAUAAAUAAAACUUCAAAAUCUGCAGGUGAGUGGGAGAAGCAGAGCUAAUGAGAUACCUUUUUUUCAGGCCUACAGUUGUAGGCACUGCUGUAGUAGACUGUUAUACCUACCAGCAACACAACUGCUGCACCAGAGAAGAUCACAGCAUUUUGCAGGGUUACCUGUCUGGGGAGCAUGGCCUAGAGCCGUCAACUUGGACCAGGGUAGUGCAUUGGGAAGGUUGGGAAAGUUAUUUUUUUAUUGACACCCAAGUCAACUGUCACCCAGAACUACCGACUCUGAGGCAAGGGAAAGCAUCUGAAAACUAUGAAAUCAUAUUUAUCAUGUUGGAGCAUUUGGUAUUUUGAAUGAAGAGUAUUUCAGAGUUUUGGUAUAUUUUAGAUUUGUGCCGAUUUCACUGGUGUUGACUACCAGUCACUGUUCAACUAUGAGCCAGGUUUGCCAUGAGAAGAGUGAAGAUCCAGGGUAUUCUCUGGGCACAAGCUUGUCUUGGCCUCUUCAGCUCCUAAUAGUAUAUGGAAUAUCUACCUCAAUUUUGGCUUGCAAAAGGAAAUUACAUGUUACUGAAUAACAACAGAGGUAGGACAAAGACUGUGGUUAUUGAAAUCAGCAGAUCUCUGAAAGCUAACAUCUGAAAUACUGCAACAGGGUAAAAAAAAAAUGAACGUAAGCAGAGCAUUUAACUAGGUUGCUUCUUGUUCUCCCUCCUCUGUAUUUCACUCCCCCUUUUACAAAAUGCGUAACCUUUGUAAAUCAAAAAGCCCAAAAGUGAGCAGAAUAUUCUAUGGAGAACCAAGGCUAUGUACAGUGCUCAAGAAUCUAUCUUACCACAGCAGUCUCCUGAGCCCUGUGCUGUUGCAGUUACUACUUUUGAUACAAACCAGAUCUGAUAACUCCACACACACCAACUUUUCCUCUGGCUAAAACAUGAGAAAGUAAUUUCAAGUGACUUGUUGGAGCAGCUGGGUGUUAACUGAGAAACCUUCAAGAACUGAGUCAGAAACUUCACACGCUGGAUCAGAACUAAGAUGCAAAGUAAUAAGGUCACCACACAGGAGAGGUUAGUACUGAUUGAGUCCAUUUGAGGGCUGCUGUUGGGUUUGGGAAUCCUGCUCGAGGAGUUGGAAGGCAGCGCAGCCAAGGGCUACACUGGGCAGUUCUUUCCAAGCUGAAGGGCCAGCUUCAGUACAGCGGGCUUCACACAGCACCUACCAAAGCCUCAGAGAAAGCAUGUAGAAGCCCAUGGACAAAGUAAGUGUUUUGAUGCUAACUUCAGUAAGUGAAGUUUUCCAGAUAAAGGCAACUGCAUCCAGAUUUAACAGCUGUUAAACACAUUUAAUUGCAUUAUAUAAGGGGUGCUUUAUAUUCAAGAGAAAACAUUUCAAGUGUUGAAGUUCUACCUGCACGGAAUCCAGACUUUCUCCCUGGACAAUAUUCCAGUUGACAAAAGGGCCUUGUUCAGAUAUCUGGGAUCAACUGAAUACAUUUAUUUAAAAGCAAUUUUAAAUAUUAAAAAAGUAGAAAUUAACACAUACAGUACUCAAAAAACUGUCACAUUAAAUACAUGUGAAUAGACAUGUGUACUGAUGUUUUACCUUAACAUUCAAUGAGAAGUCAAGAUUUUAACUAGUGGCACAACCAGAUCUGAUUUCUGUACAUGUUGAUGUACUAUGCAAUAAAAAAAUAAAUAGCAACUGUUGUUCAACAGUAAAUAAGACAUCAUCUGCAGAGCAUACUUCCCCCUCGGGGGGCACCUUCCCCUGCCCACCCCCCCCCAGCCCCUUAUCAGCUAGUUUUCCAUAAAGAUUUAGACUUUCCAAAUACUAUGUCAUGUACAAAAUUGCAGACAGUGGCUCAUUGAGUUCAAAUAUAAUACUGUACUUAAACUCAGUCAAUAUCAUACAUUUUCAGAUUUCUUAUGACCCACAAUAAGCCAGAAUAAACAGAACUAUUGUUCCCGAUGGAACGCAUUUAAUUUUAUAAAAUGCAUAUGUAUACUAUUUUAAAGAGCGUAGAAAAGAAUAGACAUUUGAUUCUACAUAAUUUUACAUGCCUAGAUUUUCUUUAUAUGGUUUGCUUUUAUCAGUUUAUUUCAAGAUCAUUUAAAAAUACAAUUGACCACAAAAGUGAAUAGGUUUUGUUCUUUAAUGCAACUUAAAACAUUGUAUUAACGGAUAGAAUGGAAUGCUAAAUAAAUGCUAAUCCUGACUUCCUUUCCAUAGAAAACAGAGUAAAGUCUGAAAUACUGGAACUGGUAAUACUGAAGAUUAGAUGCCAGCAGGCUCGCUCACUCCUUGUGCAAUUCUCUUAUUUCUAUUUUUUAAUAAGCUUUUGCCAUGAGUGAUAAAAACCAUUAACAGUUGAUAUAUUUGUUUCCAUUUUCUCCAUUUGGGGUUUGGACUGUUAUUUGUUUCCAUAUUAACCACAAACAGAAUUAAAUAUUCACUGACUACAGUCUAGUAAAACUGAAUUAAAAAUGAAAGCUCUCGGAAAGCCUGAAAUGUGCUUUUAUGAAAUGAAAACCUUUCCAUGCAGCCAAGACGAUCUGCUUUGAAAUAACAGGGCCAGGUGCUGAAGCCAACAUAACAUUUAACGCAAGUAAUGCAAAGCUACAUAUGAACGUUAUGGAACUUGCUACAGACAAACUAUGGAAAAACACACAAUUGCAUUAUGCUUCAAAGUUAAAAAAAAAAAUAAUGUUGAAAGUAACAUA